GUUACCUGUUAGAACUGAUGCUGUUGAAACUAGAGGUUACCUGUUGAAACUAGAGGUUACCUGUUGAAACUAGAGGUUACCUGUUGAAACUAGAGGUUACCUGUUGAAACUAGAGGUUACCUGUUGAAACUAGAGGUUACCUGUUAGAACUGAUGCUGUUGAAACUAGAGGUUACCUGUUGAAACUAGAGGUUACCUGUUGAAACUAGAGGUUACCUGUUAGAACUACUGCUGUUGAAACUAGAGGUUACCUG